ensembl:snRNA U2 U2 spliceosomal RNA
UUCUCUGCCUUGUGGUAUCUGUUCUUAUCAGUUUAAUAUCUGAUCCGUCUUCUAUAUGAGGACUACAUAUUAAAUUGAUUUUUAGGACAGGGAGACGGAACAGGGGCUUGCGCCAUCCGCUCUACGCAUCGAACUGGUAUCGCAGUAACUCCGGGAAUGGUGCACCAUCU